rnacentral:sRNA from 1 species
UGAAACAGAAAUAUCAGCAAGUAGAGCAGUAUUGGAAAUGAUGUUUGAGUUCUUCCCUGAGAUCAGUGGGAGGAACUGCCUCUCCCUUGGAAGGGCAUGCCACAGCAGCUCUCACUGUGGGGUUCAUCAAGAGCUGGUCCUGUCUCAGCUGUCUGAGCUGGCAGCAAGCCCACCCAGUAGCUACUUUUCUGGAGCAGUAGGCACUGCAUGCCUGGAGCUCAGGAACACUUCGUGUAUCUCCUUAGGGCCAAAGCUAGGAUUCCCAGACCCUUUUUUCCAGCACUGAUGGUUUCCUAGGAGUUUACUUUGGCUCUACAGCCCUGGGUUGGAUGGGUCAGGUUAAUGUAUGCAACUUUGAAGGGGCCCAAGAAAGACUCAACCAGAGAAAAAAAUGAGAUUUAUUUCAUUACUGGAAUGAAGCAAUUCUUCGUACAGGUCAUUAUAGUUCGCAGCUUUUCAGGGGAAACUGGGUCAAGGUUGGAAAAUAACCAAGUAAAAAGUAUUUUCUGACGUUAUCAUAAGUUCAGCAAAAUAGCUAAGGAUAAUCCAAACAUGUUAGUAGAUUUUUCUAAAUGUCCUCUUAUCUACUUAGGAGAAUGGAAUGUCGUGACACUUGAAUUGGUGCCAUGCCUUAGCAUGAGGGCCCGCCUGUUUUUGGUGUCCAUUUAAGGUGGUAAUGAUACGAGUUUUUAAGUUAAAAUGGCACUUAAGGUGUCUUUUUUUUUUUUAAUCUUUUUUCACCUAAAAUAGGUAAAACCUUGUUAGCCAAAGCAGUAGCAAACCAAACCUCAGCCACUUUCUUGAGAGUGGUUGGCUCUGAACUUAUUCAGAAGUACCUAGGUGAUGGGCCCAAACUCGUACGGGAAUUGUUCCGAGUUGCUGAAGAACAUGCACCGUCCAUCGUGUUUAUUGAUGAAAUUGACGCCAUUGGGACAAAAAGAUAUGACUCCAAUUCUGGUGGUGAGAGAGAAAUUCAGCGAACAAUGUUGGAACUGCUGAACCAGUUGGAUGGAUUUGAUUCUAGGGGAGAUGUGAAAGUUAUCAUGGCCACAAACCGAAUAGAAACUUUGGAUCCAGCACUUAUCAGACCAGGUUAAAUUUGCUUUGGUUUCAUCAUGGAGAUUAAUGUGUUUAUAUAUUUGUGUUUAAGUGUGCUUUGGGAGGCCUAUAAAAUGAUACAUAAAAAAGCAAAUACUGCAGUGAAACUCAGGAUAAUUUACAAAAAAAUAGGUCCCCUUGAGACGAGGGUUAAAACAGAGCAUGAUAUGGUCUGUGCACCUCGGCCCUUUGAAUUCCAGUCUUAUGUCUUGUCUUUUCCAUAAUAUUCCCUUUUUAGCCUCAAGAACUUGCUGCUUUUUCUGGAAGAAAUAACUCAUGUGAUGGUAGGAUUUGUCCUUUUUACAUUCAGGUAGCAUCAGAAGAAACAGUGAUUUGUUUGCUGUCUUUUGUAAUGUUUUUAACACAAUAGGUCUGCUCAGCUUCACUCAGGAAUUGCUCCUUUCAUUUAUUUCUGAAGGUACCAAAGCAGAGAGAGUUUCUUUUAAAUGAAGAGAAUUCAAAUGUAGAAAUCUACAAACUACAAAAAUAUAUGUUUACUUUUUAAAAUUUGGACAUCCUUCCCACAGAAUUCUGUCUGACUGAAACUUCAUAUGUAAGGAGAUGGGCUGAGGCCUCUGAGCCAUGGCCAAGCCUGGGUUUGGAUGGUGGUGUGACUUCAAAUCUUUUUGUACCUGCAGGCCGCAUUGACAGGAAGAUUGAGUUCCCCCUGCCUGAUGAAAAGACGAAGAAGCGCAUCUUUCAGAUUCACACAAGCAGGAUGACGCUGGCUGAUGAUGUAACCCUGGACGACCUGAUCAUGGCUAAAGAUGACCUCUCUGGUGCUGACAUCAAGGCAAUCUGUACAGAAGCUGGUCUGAUGGCCUUAAGAGAACGUAGAAUGAAAGUAACAAAUGAAGACUUCAAAAAAUCUAAAGAAAAUGUUCUUUAUAAGAAACAGGAAGGCACCCCUGAGGGGCUGUAUCUCUAAUGAACCAUGGCUGUCAUCAGGAAAAUGGUUGGGAGAUUUCUCAAUCCCUGAAAGGGAUGAGGUUGGGGGAGUUGCCCAGAGGAAUCCCUGUUCCCACUGAUUUUUAUUAGCAAAACAUCCUGUGUCUUUUAGAGUACGAUGUGUAAGUGCCCAUUGGGUGGCCUGUUGGUCACUGUGCAGCCGUCUGCUUCCCAAUAAAGCGUGCUCUUUCACAAGC